GCUGAUCUAUGAUGACAAACAAUUCAUGGUGGACUGUUGGAUGAUGCUUGCGGAUAUGGGACUGAGAUCAGUG